UGACUUUCUGUUGUUGUUUUGAUUUUGAAGGAAGAGAAUUCAACCUACGUAGCUUCAGGGAAAUCUUGGGGGCUGGGGCUGGGACUGGGAAGGGAUACAAGAGGCCAAAGCAGGCGCUAACAUUGCCUGACUUUCUGGUGUUUUGUUGGAGUAUGUGCUACUAGUGCAGCGCCUGUCGUUAGGGUAUUUCAACCCCCAGCGUGGAGAGUAGAACCAGAGGGAUUCGCUUUGUAAACCCAAGAUUCUUUUUUUAAACUUCUCUUGGGUAUGCCCGUUAAAAGACAACUGAGAAAUCAAAAUUCUUUUUUUUUUAAUUACAAGGAUUUGGUAGACGGACGAGAAAGUGUAGUUUUACCGAGUUAUUUUCGCCCAUUUUUUUUUUUAAUUUGCAAAAAUACUACGUGCUCUUUAAGAAAAAAAUUUAGCAGCCAAACAAUGAAGACGUCAGCUUUGCCUCCCCGCCCCACACCCUCCCCCCUUUUUCCUCUUAGUACCUGGGGUUGGUAGCCAGACUGACUUCAAGUGUGGUGUUUAACCUUUAAGAUUUUUCUGCGCAUACAGUUUUCUACAAAUGCCCAUACUAUCAUAGAUAAAUCAGUGAAUAUUAUAAAAUGGUUUGAUAUGGUUUGUAAUAAUCUAUUUGUGCCCAAUUUCUGGAACAAUGCAUAAGGAUUAAUUUAUUUUUGGAAAUCAAGUGCAAUAAUAAAAGGAAAAUAAACCACACAACAUUAUUGGAAGCCAUUUCUGCUAAUUUUAUUACAUUUUAAAAUUUAUGAUUUGAUUUGAAUACUAUCAUGGGAGGAGCUGUGAGUGCUGGGGAAGAUAACGAUGACUUAAUUGAUAAUUUAAAAGAAGCUCAGUAUAUCCGCACUGAAAGAGUGGAACAAGCCUUCAGAGCAAUUGAUCGUGGAGAUUACUAUUUGGAAGGCUACCGAGACAAUGCUUACAAAGACUUAGCCUGGAAACAUGGGAACAUACACUUGUCAGCACCUUGCAUUUAUUCUGAAGUUAUGGAAGCAUUGAAACUUCAACCAGGAUUGUCUUUUCUUAACCUGGGAAGUGGAACCGGAUAUUUAAGUACAAUGGUGGGCUUAAUUUUAGGUAAUUUUGAUUUUGUGAAACUAUACUUUAAAAAGUAAGCUGAGUUUGUAUUACUGUUUAUGAUUACAGGGUUUGAAACUUUGUGUACAGUGUAUGUUUGAAUGUAUAUACUUAAAGUAGUUAUCUUCCUUUCUUAAGAAGUAGUAAUCAUUUUCUGUUCCCAGCCCUGCCCUGGACAAUUAGCUUUUGCUUUCAGCCCUAGACUUAAAAGGCUCCUGUACCCAUUUCCAAUGCCCAAUCAUUGUCUCUCUUUAAAAUUGAACAGCCGGUAUGCAGGAAAGUGAGGAGUGUCAUUUCAUCUCCUUUAAGGGAAAAGUUCUAACAGCUGGCAUAGUGAAUUUGAUAAUUAUUCGAGUCUCAAAAAAAAUACCAUGUUUUCGUUAGGGAGACGUGUGUGGGAUAUAGUGCUUCGGGCAGAGGACUGGUAGGAUACCGCAGGGUACUGGAGAAAAACACAGAUGAGAGAAUUGUAUGUCAUUGAGCUUUUAGCACACUUAGAGUGUGUAUUUUGCCAGGCGUUAUUCCUUCCUGGUGUGAGUAUACAGCGGCGAUCAAAAAGAAGGUAGAUCUCCAGCCUGAAGAUUGCUGAGUGCAUACUUAGGAGGGCAGGCAUUAUUUAAGUACUUUAUAUCCAAUAACUCACUUAAUGUUCCUAAUAAUCCUGUGUAUAUGGUGGAGUAUAUACUGCUGUGAUUUUCAUGUUGGUGAGUAAACUGAGGCACAGAGAGGUUAAAUAAAUAUAUAGCUUUAAAGUUAUAUAGCUAGAAGUAACAACUGGGAAAUACGGAAUGUGGCUAGAAAAAACAUGGAUGAAUCAAAAUCUGCUAUAAGACGUUAUGAGUUGGAUGGAGAAUGAAUAACUGAGUUUACUAAGCCACAUAUUUACUGUAUUUACUGAAUAUUAGUGUGUGGUAAGCCUUGAGAUAGAGCAGUAAUGCCUGCAGAGAGAUUCUUGCCCUUGAGUUUGGAGACAUAACGUUGGAAAGAUGGAUGAAAAUCAGUAGUCUCAUCUAGUGUGAUAGUGUAAUGAACUGUAUGUGCAAGUUACCGGAUGAAUUGUGUUGGUUUGAUAUCUACUCUCAAGUGAUAACGGACACAUUGAAGAAUUUAGAAUGACUGUACUCCGGAGGGUCCCUCUGUCCCAGUGUCCUGGGACAGUCUUGGUGUAUCUCACUUGUCCUAGCGUCAGUAUCAAUGACCUGUUACUUCCUAAAGUGUCCCAGGUUGGACAGUAAAUUAUGUGGUCAUGUUUUGAGAUUUUUACAAAGUUUUCAGGUCUGAAGUUCCUUUUUUCUUAUACACUGGCAUGUUACUUUAUUUUCUCAUGGGAUGUGCAGUCUGUUUCAUUAAGAAAUUAAUAGAUCCCUUUUUUUCUACAAUAGAGCGUCAAAAAUGGUAGCAAGUUAAUUGAGUUUUACCAAGAAAUUUAUCAGCUUACAUUUAAAUUUGGUGUUAACUACAUUCCUGAGCCACGGAUUUUUCUGUAGGUUGGAACCCAGACAUCUAUCACUUCUGUCAUUAGGCCCUCUUUGAAGAAGGACGCUCUAGUGUUUGAGCCAGUGUCCAAAUCAAAGGAACUCAGUGGGGGGUAGUAAGGAGACCUGCUUUUCAAAAAAUGAUAGUUGCCUUUCUUCAGGCAGUGCAUUUCUUGACUAGUUUUGGCAACUGUUUGCUGGAGUCCAGGCCAUAGGAUCUUAGUCAGCUUCAGAGUGCCUGUUUUCCUGACCCUGUCACCUGCUUCCUUCUUAGGGAGGACAGUCUUGCUAGGAGUUCAGGGGUGGGGGAGAUUGUCAUAAUUAGCAACCUUGGUAGCAGUGAUGUAGCCCUCUUGAACGCCAUUCCUUAGCUGUAGCCUCCAAGAGAUUAUAUUCCUUGGCUAGAUGCAUUUGUAAGCUGACCUCUAAUCAUACCAGAGGGCAGUGUGGGGAUACCCUGUGUAAAUGAUCUAUAGUGCACUAGGUAUUUUCCUCCUCUUACA